rnacentral:tRNA from 1 species
UGGUUCCAAGGCCUCUAUCCCCAA